UGAUCAAGCAUAAUUUAGCCACAUUUUUAUCAUAAUUAUUGUUGCUUAUUUACACAUUUUUUAGUUUAAUUUAUGGUUUUUAUCUUGUUUUUACAGAAAAGGAAGAAAUUAGAAAAUGGGAGAAAAAGUGCAGAAAAAGUACAGAAGGAUGAUUUGCCCAGUGAUUUGCCCAAGAUCACCAGCUAAACUGCUCCAAUCACUGCCCAGAUCAAGCUAAAGCAGAAACCCGGAGGCAACAGACAGCAGUGAUAUGGGCAGUGAUUUGCCCAAGAAACUCGAAGAUCACUGGCCAAAUCACUCGCAGAGACAUAGAGGACUGACUCACAGAGAAGCGAUCUGGACAGUGAUUUGCCCAAUCACUUGAAGAAACUGGUCAAACCACCGGACAAAUCACUUUGAAAGCAGAAACUUAACAGCAGAGCGGGAAAGACAGCAGAAAACAGAAAUCCGAAUUUUUAGAAGUCCAAAUCCAACUCAAUCAAUGCCAACACAAAUCCAAGAGCCACGAAAGAGCUUCUCAUCCAAGGAAAUCCAAUUGCAAUUAAAUUCAACAUCAAAAGAGGAGUCCAACACCAAAUCAAAAGGGAUUUCAAAACCCUAGAGAAUUCUUCAGCUAUAAAAAGGAGAGUCUCAAAACCAGCAAGGCGUCUGAUCAGCAACUCAACUCGCCAGAAACUCUCCAGCAUCUUCCUUUUUUCCUUUCUUUUCAUCUUUUGUGUACUUAGUCCACCAUGAGUGGCUAAUUUCCUUCCUUUCUAGUUGAAGUUGGUGAAUUUCAGAUUUUGUGAUGAAUUGGGAGAUUUAAUACUCCAUU
rnacentral:lncRNA from 1 species